rnacentral:rRNA from 1 species
UGGGAUAACACCUGGAAACAGAUGCUAAUACCAGAUAACAACACUAGACGCAUGUCUAGAGUUUGAAAGAUGGUUCUGCUAUCACUCUUGGAUGGACCUGCGGUGCAUUAGCUAGUUGGUAAGGUAACGGCUUACCAAGGCAAUGAUGCAUAGCCGAGUUGAGAGACUGAUCGGCCACAUUGGGACUGAGACACGGCCCAAACUCCUACGGGAGGCAGCAGUAGGGAAUCUUCCACAAUGGACGAAAGUCUGAUGGAGCAACGCCGCGUGAGUGAAGAAGGGUUUCGGCUCGUAAAGCUCUGUUGGUAGUGAAGAAAGAUAGAGGUAGUAACUGGCCUUUAUUUGACGGUAAUUACUUAGAAAGUCACGGCUAACUACGUGCCAGCAGCCGCGGUAAUACGUAGGUGGCAAGCGUUGUCCGGAUUUAUUGGGCGUAAAGCGAGUGCAGGCGGUUCAAUAAGUCUGAUGUGAAAGCCUUCGGCUCAACCGGAGAAUUGCAUCAGAAACUGUUGAACUUGAGUGCAGAAGAGGAGAGUGGAACUCCAUGUGUAGCGGUGGAAUGCGUAGAUAUAUGGAAGAACACCAGUGGCGAAGGCGGCUCUCUGGUCUGCAACUGACGCUGAGGCUCGAAAGCAUGGGUAGCGAACAGGAUUAGAUACCCUGGUAGUCCAUGCCGUAAACG